rnacentral:rRNA from 1 species
AACGAACGCUAGCGGCAGGCUUAAUACAUGCAAGUCGAGGGGCAGCAUGAGUGUAGCAAUACAUUUGAUGGCGACCGGCAAACGGGUGCGGAACACGUACACAACCUUCCUAUAAGUGGGGAAUAGCCCAGAGAAAUUUGGAUUAAUACCCCGUAACAUAAUGAUGUGGCGUCACAUUAUUAUUAUAGCUACGGCGCUUAUUGAUGGGUGUGCGGCUGAUUAGAUAGUUGGCGGGGUAACGGCCCACCAAGUCUACGAUCAGUAGCUGAUGUGAGAGCAUGAUCAGCCACACGGGCACUGAGACACGGGCCCGACUCCUACGGGAGGCAGCAGUAAGGAAUAUUGGUCAAUGGACGCAAGUCUGAACCAGCCAUGCCGCGUGAAGGAUUAAGGUCCUCUGGAUUGUAAACUUCUUUUAUCUGGGACGAAAAAAGGCGAUUCUUCGUCACUUGACGGUACCAGAUGAAUAAGCACCGGCUAACUCCGUGCCAGCCGCCGCAGUAAGAC